GGGGGUCACUGAGGGGAGGUUGAUGUUGCCUACGCUCCUCUGAUGAGCUCAUGGGGGUCACUGUGGGGUGCCAAAUGCUUUGUGUGUUGCUGAGAGGGCAUAAAGGUGGCUGAAGGAAUGGUGGGUGCCCUGCAUCUUGCUGAGGGGACAUGAGGGUCAUUUGAGGAGGAGGCAGGUGCCCCAAGCACUGCUGAGGAACCAUGAGGGUGUCUGAGGGGCUUUUGGGUACCCUGCAUGUAACUGAGGUGGUGGCAGAUGCCCUGUGUGCCACUGAGGGGGUCUGCAGAUCACUGAGGGGGAUGAGGGUUUGCCGGGGCUGGGUGACCUCCCUGAGGGCAGGGCUGGGACUUUGCUGUUGGCCUUUUGCCCUUGUGCUCCUUUGGCUGCCUGGAGAGAAGGGCAGCCCUGUAAGGGGGGUGAGAGCCCCUGACUCCACACGUGAGGGAGGAAAUGGAGCUCUCCUGACCCCCAGCCUGCCCUGUAAGCAGGGCAGGGGUUUUCCCCUGCCUCGGCCUUGUCCCUGCUCUCUGAGGACAGAGCGAAGCUGCUUAGUGGUAGCGUGGGCACUGUGACCUGUAGGCAGGCCUGGGUCUCUGCCUAUGCUGCAUGGCUGACAGUCCUGCUGGUGCCCUGACACUCAGGGCAUGUGUCAUGACCUUGUGGAGCCUUUAGUCCCCAGGAACAUCCCGUGGUUCCUCUACACAGGAAAUGGAUUGGAGGGCGGGGAAUUAAAUAAAAAGAAAAAGAGAAUAUUGUCUGGGAUGGUACUAUUAUCAUUAAGAGAAAUCUAAUCUUAGAAUUUGGAGAAUCUUCUCUUAGCUUUUUCUGUUGCUGACCUCAUGGAAAAGCCUCUGCCAGAGGUAAAUGCUCCCAGGCCUAGAUGAUCCCAGGUGACAUUGAUCAGAGAGUGCCUGAAGAACUGGAGGGCAGGAAUCCAGAUCCAAAGGAGACCUGAGCUGGAAAUCUGGGUCCAGUUUUCUUGGGCAGCCAGUACACUGAACCAACAACCAAACUGGAAAAAGUGAAAUGUUGCUCCAGCUCAAAUUUAUGAUAUCACAGUUAUAUUUGAUGUUGAUUUGAAGGUGAAAACAAUGAAAAAAAAAAAAAAAACCUAGGAGAAACUCAUAACACUUGUGCAAAGUGUAAUGCAGCAAAGGAAGAAGCACUGAAAAUUGCUACUGUUGAGAUUUGUUACAAUAGUCACACAAAAAGCUAGUGGACCUUUCAAUUGAAAAGUUAAAAUUAGAUGGGCAUUUCUAUUUGAGAAGGAUAAAAUUGUCAUUACAAGAAAGAAAGAUGCCAUUUCUAUUAGAACCAUUAGUUAUAUUUUUAUUUUUUUUUUAAUCCUUAGAAAUUCCAUGCUACAUGAUCUUGAAUGUUGAUAGUUCUAUUUUCUAACAAACCCAGGAGGAAACAUAUUUCAAAGACACAAACUUAAAUUUGUUUGCAAGACUGUGUCUAAACUGCAGGAAACCAGUUUGGGAGAUAUAUAGACAAUGUCCCUAUGUAUGUUUGUACUCACCUCUGAAGAAAAAUUCUAUGGAAGCCUUUUAAUUUUCUAUCAUAAAAUGGGCAGGGCUCACAUAAAGGAAAAAUCUUUUGUAUUGAAUACAUGUGAAUUGACUUCGUGACUGACCUCCCUGUAAAGCAGUGAUGACAUGGUUGUAUAUGCUAUGCCAACUUUGCUGUUUAACCUCACUGCUUCAAAAGGCUGUUUAAAAAGCCCUCAAUAAUAUUGCUUGGAGUAAUAAAUAAUAGCUACAAGGAAAAAUUUACAGUUAACAUAGUGAAAGAAAACCAUAAAAAUUUUAAAGCUUAGUAAAAGAAUUAAAGCAGUUUUCUACGCUCUUAUGAGUCCCUUCUAGUCAAAAAGAACAACAAUUAUAUAACUACUGUUAACUGCAUUAGACAAAAGCACCAGAAUAUCAUGAAUAGAGAAACCAGUGCUGUGUUAGUGAAGUUGGAAAGAAACUUUGCUCUUAUUCACUGUCUAUUCCCCUGUAAUUUUAGGAAUUUCAUAUGUAUAAUCUUCUAAACCAAAGAAAUAGAUUUAUGACUGAUUAAAUGUAUCACUCCAUCAACUGCUAAUUGACUUUUGAAAACUUGAAUAACCUCACAGUUUGCUUGUGUUCCCCUGCAGAUCUGUGUUCAGACCCUCAUUCUGUAGUCCCCUCAUUAUUGCUUCCUCUAUCCAUAUCUUCCUGCAUGUCACCCUCCUAAGGAGAAAGUUAUGGGAAUUUUUUCCAGCAGUGAGUUUCACCCUAAGAGAUGGAAAUUUGUUCUUUUAAAGGCUAAAGAAAAUUUCAUGGUUAUUAACAUGCUGGUUUUUUCAAUGCAACUUCUCUCUAUGUGCUUAUUCUAGGCAGGGAUGCAGGCAUCAGCUUUUAUUAAGCUUAUUCAAAACUUUCCAUUGUAGCACCCAGCUUGCUUAUAGACUUGAGAAAGCUUUGGUUGUUUCAACACAAAUUUGUCAAGUGCAUUUUGAAACAGUGAUUUUAUAUUUUUCUAGACUUGAAAUGCUCCAUUAAAUACUGCAGAGAUAUAGGAAAUAUGGGCAAAAUAAUAGCAGACAGAGAAAACAGUUUCACAUCUAGGACUUUCAUCUGCGUAAAUCAAGAAGGAAAAAAAGAACAAAACCUGGCCUGAAUUUUUUGUAGAGCAAAGGUAUCUUUUUUAACCCCUGAAAGAGCAGGGAAAUGCCUCACCACUCUUACUCGAGGUAGGAAACAAUGGCACAGAGGGUUUUAAGUGUUUUGAAGCUGGAUGUCCUUUGACAAGCUGGAGGAGAAGAGUCUUGGGUUUUUCUCACUCAGGAGUUGUCAGGGUUCCCAGGACACCUCCAGGAGUCCCUCACUAUAACACUGGAGACACGUGUUUCUCUAACACAGAACUUCAGGACCACAGGCAAAAUAAUUAAAUUCCAUAUUUUCCAUAAUUCAUUUUUAAGACAAUCAAGAGAUAGGCAGAAGAAAUAUCAGGGAACAAAAAUGCUGUAGAAGGGGAAGAAGACACAUGUAUGUCACAUCU